GUGGGGAAUAUUGGACAAUGGGCGAAAGCCUGAUCCAGCCAUGCCGCGUGUGUGAAGAAGGUCUUCGGAUUGUAAAGCACUUUAAGUUGGGAGGAAGGGCAGUAAGUUAAUACCUUGCUGUUUUGACGUUACCGACAGAAUAAGCACCGGCUAACUUCGUGCCAGCAGCCGCGGUAAUACGAAGGGUGCAAGCGUUAAUCGGAAUUACUGGGCGUAAAGCGCGCGUAGGUGGUUCGUUAAGUUGGAUGUGAAAGCCCCGGGCUCAACCUGGGAACUGCAUCCAAAACUGGCGAGCUAGAGUACGGUAGAGGGUGGUGGAAUUUCCUGUGUAGCGGUGAAAUGCGUAGAUAUAGGAAGGAACACCAGUGGCGAAGGCGACCACCUGGACUGAUACUGACACUGAGGUGCGAAAGCGUGGGGAGCAAACAGGAUUAGAUACCCGUGUAGUCC
rnacentral:rRNA from 1 species